rnacentral:rRNA from 1 species
CUACGGAGGGUGCGAGCGUUAAUCGGAAUUACUGGGCGUAAAGCGUACGUAGGCGGUUGGUUAAGUUAGAUGUGAAAGCCCCGGGCUUAACCUGGGAACUGCAUUUAAAACUGGCGAACUAGAGUUGAGUAGAGGGGAGUGGAAUUUCAGGUGUAGCGGUGAAAUGCGUAGAGAUCUGAAGGAACACCAGUGGCGAAGGCGACUCCCUGGACUCGAACUGACGCUGAGGUACGAAAGCGUGGGUAGCAAACGGGAUUAGAAACCCGUGUAGUCC